ACGGAUCUAAUAACGUGUAUAUUGUUAUCAUCGCUAAUUUUUUGGUUUGUUUUCAUAUGAAUUAAAGAACUUUUUUUGGUUAUAAUUAUGCUCAAUCAUGCUACUUAUUGAAUUAUUAAAUAUUUACGGAGACUUGCUGUUUUUUUUUUUUUGAACAAAUUCUAGAAGAAACUCUUAUGAUUUCUGAAGCAUUAAGGGCC
rnacentral:lncRNA from 1 species